AAAAGAGGCCGGCCACGUAAGUCUCUCAGCAAUAGCAGCCCUGAAAAGGCUGACGCUAAAGAUUCACUGAAAGGUGGCUCUAAUACACCAAAAGCAAAAAGGGGUCGUCCAAAAGGAACCACUAAGCGCAAGGCAGAAAGUUUAACAAGGCCGAAACGAAGAGGCUCUCCAAAUAAGAAACCCAAGCUGGAGUCGGAAGAGGAGGAGGAAGAGGAGGAGGAAGAGGAAGCUGUUUCAAGCCCAAACUCACAGGUGAGGAGGAGAGGUCGGCCAAGGAAGGUGGAGGGGACACAGAAGACAUCAAAUGGCUUCUCAAAGAAGUCUCAUAGAGGGAGGGGAAGGCCAAGGAAGGUUAUUAAACCAGAGAGUGAUGAUGAUGAUGAUGAUGAUGAUGAAGAUGAAGAACAACAACAACAACCAGCUAAGAGGGGAAGAGGUCGUCCUAAAGGCUCUGUAAACAAGAAACCCCCUGCAUAUAAGGUGCAAGCUAAGGUGAGCCGGACCAGAAGAAGGAAGCGUGGUCGUCCAAGUAAACAACCAGCCAAAAGGGGAAGACCAAGGAAACACCCUCUGCCGUCAGCUGAGGAGCUGAAAAGGCCAAAAGUAUGGAAGCCGCUGGGAAGGCCGAGGAAAUACCCACGUGCUGACCCUCCUGAGGAGUCUGCAGCAGCCUCUCCCAAAAGCCGCGGCCGGCCUCGCAAGACAGAAUCUAAGAAAGGCGCUCACUUGCGCAAGAAUUUUCCUGCCUCUUCAUCCUCCCCACCUAACCCCAAUGUUGGAUCACCGCGAAAGAGAGGCCGUCCCCCAAAAAGUGAUGCUGGCAUGCCGCGGAAAUUGGGCCGCCCUAAAGGUUCACUCAACAAAAAUAAAGCCAGAGGUGAAACGCAGCUCGACAGCGAGUCAAAAGCAAAGAGUGAUUCAUCUCCUCUUGGGGUGGAAAAUGAAGAGGAGACGGUAGAAGAGGAGGUGGAGCACGACUCGGAGACGUCCAUUGAACAUGACGCAGAGACGUCCAUCCAACACGACGCACUGACGUCCAUUGAGCACGGAGACUUUACUGAAGAAUCGGCCAUGGGUCAGGAUGCCAGCUUUGAAGUUAGUAACCAGGCUUGA
rnacentral:lncRNA from 1 species